rnacentral:rRNA from 1 species
GACGAACGCUGGCGGCGUGUUUAACACAUGCAAGUCGAACGGAAAGGCCCUGCUUUUGUGGGGUGCUCGAGUGGCGAACGGGUGAGUAACACGUGAGUAACCUGCCCUUGACUUUGGGAUAACUUCAGGAAACUGGGGCUAAUACCGGAUAGGAGCUCCUGCUGCAUGGUGGGGGUUGGAAAGUUUCGGCGGUUGGGGAUGGACUCGCGGCUUAUCAGCUUGUUGGUGGGGUAGUGGCUUACCAAGGCUUUGACGGGUAGCCGGCCUCAGAGGGUGACCGGCCACAUUGGGACUGAGAUACGGCCCAGACUCCUACGGGAGGCAGCAGUGGGGAAUAUUGCACAAUGGGCGGAAGCCUGAUGCAGCAACGCCGCGUGCGGGAUGACGGCCUUCGGGUUGUAAACCGCUUUCGCCUGUGACGAAGCGUGAGUGACGGUAAUGGGUAAAGAAGCACCGGCUAACUACGUGC